ACAUCUCAGGAUUCUGCUUCAAAGCAGAAAGGGUAUCACCAAAAGCAGCUGUGUUGGGAAUUACCAGAACAGAGUUACUGGUAGCAGUAGACGCUUCACAAUUUGGCAUAUUGGAAUGUUCUUUUCUCGAUCAUCAGUACUUUCUAAUGGCUGCGUGUCGUUUCCAGACAUCGACUUCUCAGCUUCUUCAUCAUGCACUUCUUCGAUGAUAGGACCUGCAGAAUGUCAAGUAGGAACCAAAAAAGAUCUUUAUAAGAGCCAGUAACUUCUACUGAGUAAAGCUAAUGAAGACAUGACAAUAACUUUGCACAGGUAAAGUUUUCGAUUAAUCUAUUAUUUGCACACAACUUUCUCAACAUUCAUUGUUUGUACUAUAAGUUAAAACUGUAGUGGCUAUCGCAACUCCAACAAUAACCAUCCCUUAUCAGUAUUCCAAAUAAAGUUCUUUACCAUCAAGUAACAAUUCUUUGUCCCCUCCUUGUGCAUCAAGUGCUUUCUUUGCCACUCCGUUGAAUAAAUUUCAUGUAAAAAACUCUCAUCAAUAAUAUUUCACAAAAAGAUUUUUUUUGUGUUUGAAGCUGCAUCAAAAUAUCCAAAUUCGUGUCCAAAAGCACAACCAAACAUUUUCAAGUUUGUUGAUACCUUGAUAUUUGAAUGCAUGCAUAUCCGUAAACAU
rnacentral:lncRNA from 1 species